CCUACGGGUGGCAGCAGUGAGGAAUAUUGGUCAAUGGACGCAAGUCUGAACCAGCCAUGCCGCGUGCAGGAAGACGGCCCUAUGAGUUGUAAACUGCUUUUGUACGAGGGUACAUUCCGAUACGUGUAUCGGGUUGAAAUUAUCGUACGAAUAAGGAUCGGCUAACUCCGUGCCAGCAGCCCCGGUAAUACGGAGGAUUCAAGCGUUAUCCGGUUAUAUUGGGUUUAAAGGGUGCGUAGGCGGUUCGAUAAGUUAGAGGUGAAAUCCCGGGGCUCAACUCCGGCACUGCCUCUGAUACUGUCGGGCUAGAGUGUAGGUGAGGUAGGCGGAAUGUAUGGUGUAGCGGUGAAAUGCAUAGAGAUCA
rnacentral:rRNA from 1 species